AAUAAGGUAGUGGGAGUCUCUGAUGAAGCAAAACCAUCGGGCUUCGUGAGGAGAACAGGAAAAAAAAAAAAAAAAGAGAAGGAAAAGGAAGAGGAAGUUAAGUUUAUUGUUCAAUUUUGUUUUCGAAAAGAAAGAUAACAAGAAGGUUUUCGUUGGAAAAAAUGAGAAGAAUUUUUUAAAAAGUUUUGCAAUUUCCAGCUACCAUAGACGAUGCUCCACCACGGGAAGCCAGGGACCCUUGGGUUCUUUGGCAACAAAGCCGACCAACAGAAACGGAGGAAGCACAGAGG
rnacentral:lncRNA from 1 species